AGAGUUUGAUCCUGGCUCAGGAUGAAUGCUAGCUACAGGCUUAACACAUGCAAGCCGAGGGGCAGCAUGACCUAGCAAUAGGUUGAUGGCGACCGGCGCACGGGUGAGUAACACGUAUCCAACCUACCGGUUAUUCCGGGAUAGCCUUUCGAAAGAAAGAUUAAUACCGGAUAGUAUAACGAGAAGGCAUCUUCUUGUUAUUAAGAAUUUCGAUAACCGAUGGGGAUGCGUUCCAUUAGUUUGUUGGCGGGUAACGGCCACCAAGACAUCGAUGGAUAGGGGUUCUGAGAGGAAGGUCCCCCACAUUGGAACUGAGACACGGUCCAAACUCCUACGGGAGCA
rnacentral:rRNA from 1 species